rnacentral:rRNA from 1 species
AAACUCCGAAUGCCGUCAUCUUAUACUUGGGAGUCAGACUGUGGGUGAUAAGAUUCAUAGUCGAAAGGGCAACAGCCCAGAUCGUCAGCUAAGGUCCCUAAAUGUAAGUUAAGUGGUAAAGGAUGUGGGAUUGCACAGACAACCAGGAUGUUGGCUUAGAAGCAGCCCCUCAUUCAAAGAGUGCGUAAUAGCUCACUGGUCGAGUGAUCCUGCGCCGAAGAUUUCCGGGGCUAAAACUUACUACCGAAGCUACGGCAUCAGUAAUGAUGGG